rnacentral:lncRNA from 1 species
GAAGGGAAGGGAAGGGAAGGGAAGGGAAGGGAAGGAGGAUAUUAUCAUAUUAUGGGGGGCCACGUGGCAGGAGGUGAGGGAGUCAAUUAAGCAAGAGGAAGGGUAGUUGGGUAAAUAUCCCAACAUAGUAUUAAGAUAGGAAAAAGGGUAGCACUUUUUGUGAAAGUGGGGUUGAAUCUCACAGGUCCUUUCUUUGUCCAUUCAAGUGGGCUUUUGAUUACGUACACAAAGCCAUUUUCACAGCCUUAUCUGUCCACAUAGUAUAUUGCUUCAUAGCAUCUCUCCUUCCUUCAUCAUAUCCUUCUAUACUCUCCUCCUCCUCCACUAUGCAUUAUUAUUACUCAACUUCCUAAACACUGCCAUCUGCCAUUUUUCUUGUUGCUUCCAACUUCUUUGGGAUUUGCCCAUUUGUAAGAAAUCAAUUGGGGAUGAGAAGACGAAAGCUGAUAGAUGCAUGCUCUCUUCAUUUUCCAUCUUUAUAUUAAUCAAUUGAUAAUGAUAGACAACCCUAAUUCAACUAUUAUAUACGUGAGAUCUGCAUAUCAUUAAUAGUCAGAAAUGAUUCAUAAUCUUAGAAAAUUUUCAUAACGUCAUAUCGAGAAAAGGAUAUAUAAUUUACACACUAAGUUAUAUAAACCCACAAAUAACCUUAGGAGUAUCAUCCAAUUC